rnacentral:lncRNA from 1 species
AUGGAGUCUCGCUCUGUCGCCAGGCUGGAGUGCAGUGGCACAAUCUCAGCUCACUGCAACCUCUACCUCCUCGGUUCAAGCAAUUCUCCUGCCUCAGCCUCCCAAGUAGCUGGGACUAUAGGCACGCACCAGCACGCCUGGAUAGUUUUUGUAUUUUUAGUAGAGACGGGGUUUCACCCAUGUUGGCCAGGAUGGUCUCGAUCUCUUGACCUCAUGAUCCGCCCGCCUCGGCCUCCCAAAGUGCUGGGAUUACAGGCGUGCGCCAGUUAAGCCAGAAUCUUUAGAGUGAGACCCAGGCAAUGGCGAUUUUAGGCUCUCCAGGUGAUUACAAUAUGCAACCAUGCUCCCAAAUGUCUGCUG